rnacentral:rRNA from 1 species
GACGAACGCUGGCGGCGUGCCUAAUACAUGCAAGUAGAACGCUGAAGGAGGAGCUUGCUUCUCUGGAUGAGUUGCGAACGGGUGAGUAACGCGUAGGUAACCUGCCUGGUAGCGGGGGAUAACUAUUGGAAACGAUAGCUAAUACCGCAUAAUAGUAGAUGUUGCAUGACAUUUGCUUAAAAGGUGCAAUUGCAUCACUACCAGAUGGACCUGCGUUGUAUUAGCUAGUUGGUGGGGUAACGGCUCACCAAGGCGACGAUACAUAGCCGACCUGAGAGGGUGAUCGGCCACACUGGGACUGAGACACGGCCCAGACUCCUACGGGAGGCAGCAGUAGGGAAUCUUCGGCAAUGGACGGAAGUCUGACCGAGUAACGCCGCGUGAGUGAAGAAGGUUUUCGGAUCGUAAAGCUCUGUUGUAAGAGAAGAACGAGUGUGAGAGUGGAAAGUUCACACUGUGACGGUAUCUUACCAGAAAGGGACGGCUAACUACGUG